UGUAUUUAAAAGCUCGUGUUUCCUUUUGACCUAUGAUGGUCAGCAAGCGCAAGCACUGAAGGGCCUGGUCGUUCAUCAGCGUCUGCGAGAGGAGAAGAGCUCUGAGACAUUGGAUGAGUACAGUGAAGAAGACAGCUGCAUUUAACAGAGUACGCCAUCUUUUAACAGAAAUGUGAAGAUCUUGGAUACUUACAUGCUCAACUAGCAAAAAGAAAAUUAUCUUUUAGCUUGUGUUUCCUGACUUGAAGUAGAGACCUAAGCCUGCACUCCACAUACUCCAACCCAGUUCCUCAAAUGCCAAGUUCUAUGCCCCCAUCUGCAGCACACCCCACCCCUGCCAGAGAGGCAUGAAUCAGCAUCUCUGAUGGGAGAGGUCUGGCUUACAGAGAGUCUCUAUUGACAUGACAUUAUGGACGCUCACAAACAUGGACUGUCUGGCAGCUGCAAGAGCUCAACAGAGGGACAGAAACAUCACUAUGCAGGAUCAUCUCUACUGAAGACCCAGCAGGCUCACAUUUUACCAUUCACACCAUCGUGUGUUUUUUUUCCUCUGCUUGUAAUUUUAUCAUGUUAUAACACAAUGCGCGAUAUGCCAGCAGGCAUUUCAGGGUACUUUGGUUUAUUUAGAUGAAAUACAUGUUUAUGAACAGAGCUGGAACACUUUAGGAAGGAAUUUGUUUUUCAUGGCUUUGUUUCCAGAAUGCAAAACAACUACGUGCUUGUUGAAUUUUCUGCAGGCAACCAGUUAUGCAUUGUUGAUUUGUCUGGCUUUGGGGACCUGUAAAAAUCCAGUGGCCAUAGAGGUUGGAAAAUGAUGAGACACUUUUCUUCCAGUUUUCCCUCCACCCUUCAGAAUGGUUUCAAAUAUAUUUUAGAUUAGGAAAAGGUGUUGUUUAUGGACUACUUUUUGCAAGCACUUUCUUCAUCUUGCCUAAUGACCUUCCUUCUGAUAUCCAUGUUGUGAAUAGCGAGAUAUAAGCUUUCUCUCCGCCUCCUUAUGGCAGGGACUAGAACAGGGUACAAGGAUUGGAAAGCAAGCACACGAACAAAGAUGGUAGGGAUUUCCACAUAGGAAAACAAAACUGAUGCAGGAGGACAUCAGCCUUUGGUCCUCCAACUAACCACCCAUCAACACAAGCAGGAAGUCGAAAACAGGGAAUGCAAACACUCUCAUAAUAUUUAGACCAGAAGGUACUUUUGAAAUGUCAUUGCACUUCCCCAGAUCUUUUAUUUGAUGAGAAUUUUCAACUUCACUAUUUCUAGCUGUUCAUAUUUGGGUCAUGAGAAUAAACGAGUGAAUGCAGAGGAGGCAGAGAAUGCCACUGUCCCCAGGAUGGAUGCAUUAAAGCACAUUCCUGACAGAAUGGGGAAAGAAAGCGAUGCAGCAACAGUAAAGAAUAACAUGAUCCUAGUCACAUAGCAAUGGGUCAUACCAAGUGCAUGUAUCUAUGCAUGUUACACAAUCUCAAGUUCCUAGUCACUGGAGAACACUAUGGAGAUCCUUAAAUACUCUUCCAAAAUGGUACAGUAUCUCUUUCCCGUAUUUUUAGUACAGACCUUCAGACUAUGAAUCUCAGCAUGACAGUCUCUCAGAAACAGAGACAGGAGGGGUGGAAACAGUCUGCAGCACAAAAAUGAAAUUCUGGAAGUGCUACAAUUACUAAGAUAAAGGGAUGGCAAUAUAAUGUAAAUAAACACUUUGUAAGAGUUUUGAAAGCUAGCUCCCAUCUGUUCUGGAUACAUAAAAAUGCUACAGAAGGGACUACAAUUUACAGCAGAAAUGGCAGUACUGUUAACCUCAGUUUAACAGGAGAGAGAAAACUGCUUUACAUGUCAAACACCACAUUAUUAUAUAAACGAUCCACAAAGAACAGAAAAUCAAGACACAGAAAUAAGCUGGUAUGAGUUACUCUGUGAGGAAGCCGGGGCCAGAAGCCCACAUAUACAGGUAUGUUUAAUACCUUUCGUCAAACCAGUGCUGAAACAUACUCUAUAGUAAAUGAAUGAUAAUAAUUCCCCAAAUUCUUCACAUCUUUAAAAAAAAGACCUUUCAAAUAUCUGAUAUAGUAAUGAUUCUGUCAAUAAUCCAUAUUCACUCUGUAGCAGCUGCUGUGAAUCACUGUGUUUCUUACUCACAAACCCAGAAUAGCAAAUCAGGCUCUUCGGGAACACAGGUCCUCUCCAUCAGGCCUGUGUGGGUAGUGUGGCAUUUGUAACACCACUUAGAUGACUUGGAAGCACAAGUCCUCCUCAAAGUCAUAGCACAGACAAAAGAAUUUAAUCCACCAUCACAGAUGCAGGAUUCCUUUUCUAAAUGGAUUGGCGAUGAGAGCAGCUGGAAUUAUAGACAUCAGAAAGAGUUAUUUAAUUCUGCUAGUUGAGAGGAAAGAACAUUUGCCAGUUCUUCAGCAGAAAUACAUUUGCUCAGUUCAUUAGGAUGAAAUAGGUCUUACCCUUAGGAAACUGGACUGACUACAGGGAUGUGCACUUGGCCUGUUUCAUAGAGAUGGUUGAUUUCCUGCAAUUACGCGGAAAGGGGAAUGAAAGGGAGGGUUGAUUAACUAGGUAGAAACACAAAUAUUAUAGAAUGAUUUAAAGAAUAAAGAUUCAUGGUAAACAUUAAAAAAAAAUCUAUUAAACCAUUAUUUUCCUCCUAAUGCAAUUGUUGCAAUUUUUCUGUUGAUUUGUGUUAUUACAGGGUAACUGUUAUUAAAUUUAACAAGUUUGCCCAAAGGAUGUUCCUUGGGAGGCUAUACAAAAUCCUUCAAAAGGAGCAAAGGAUAUUUGUAUAUUUGUACAUUUGCACAUGGGAAAAAGCUGAAAACACACUGCUGCUGGAAUACAAAGGCUACACU